rnacentral:piRNA from 1 species
UGACUUAUGAAACCCAAAAUAUUUGCUGC